UGCACAUAACCUAAUUCAAAUGUUGUAUGCUUGAAUAGCUUAUCAGGUAGUCGUUAGUUGAGCGUUGUGGAAGAUAGACGUGCAACCCUGAACACAGUAGGGCACUUCAUAAAGGUUUUUACACCAAAUCUUGAAAACUUGAAAGCGGGUAAAAUGACGCCAUUCAGAAAUUUCUUAUCGUCCGGCUUGAUCGUAAUAAUGUUCCUGAUCAUAACCGGGGUGAAUGCAGAUUGCUACACAAGAUGUGCAAUUGUUCAUAUCGACUGUUUUCGUGGAUGCAUAUUACAAUGCGAUGAUUGUGUUUCCAGUCAACGGAUUUGUUUCGACAAAUGUGCCAACCAAAAUCAAGCCAGAAAACGAAAUUUGCUCCACGAACGACUGUUCCAGUAUGUCAACCAAUAUACAAAGAAUUGAAAUGAACACACUUUGAAAUGAACAAUAUUAAGUUUUUUGGACAAUUCUUCUUGAUAUAUGUGCAGCGGUGGAUAUUUUGUAAUAUUCUGCGUCUAAUGAUCUUCUCUAGAAAUUUCAUAGCCAGUGGCUUUUUGAAGAAAAGAACAACUUAGAAUUAAAAGAAUAUUUAAAUGGAUGCUGUAUAGUUAUUGCCUAAUGAAUUAUUUGUUUAUAACGAAGUUUUAAUAGUAAAGUAAUCGAUAAUCAUAUCUUCAAAACUU